CCCCUCUCUCUGCCCCUUCCCUGCUCAUGCUCGCUCUCUGUCUCUCAAAAAUAAAUAAACAUUAAAAAAAUUUUUUUUUUAAGUUCCCAACUGUAAAGGGAAGCAUUCUCAAUCAGGUGUAACCCGUGACCUCGCUCUCAGGUCACUGCUGGCGGUUGUGCCAGGCUGUGGCCUAUCACUACCAGAUAGGAUAAGAAGGUUUUCCUCAUUCAGCUAUGUGGACCAUCAGAAUGUAAAAUUACCUGACCAAGUUUAGAUCUGUUCUGGUUUAAAGAGAAUUCGCUGCCUUUGUUUUUCCUUAGCGAACUAACAACUCACCUGCCCAACUGGGAUCUCAGUUUUGCCCUCUUCCCAAGGCCAGUUUGUCUCCAAAGAGACAUGCUAAUGGCUUAAUUGUUUUGUUUAUUCUGCGCCUCAUAAAUUCUGGUAGCUUCUUUUGCAUUAAGAGUAGAACUUUUUUUUGAGUGUCUUGGCAUUUCCUUUUGUUUUGAAUGGCUCUUAACGUUUGCUCCUAAAUGUUUUUUUGAAAGGUUGGUUAGCUCUUAGUGAUAGGUGUGGCUUUCUCUAAAUAGGAGGUUUUUCUGGGUGUGGAAUGGAGAAGGUGAAAAGGGAGGGAUUUUCGAAAGAAAUCCUAUGCACUAUAUCUAUAUGACAAACAGAUCAUUUUGGAGCCUGAUAUUUAUGCACUUAUGUUCGCUUGGCUCACAUACUUGAGUUUUGGGGGUUAAAAGAUUAAUGCAUGCAAAGGAAUGUUGAUAUUUAGCCUGACAAAAACUGUGCAUUUACAGAGCUGUGGUUUGCUUUUCAAAAUGUAGAAAUGUAGAGGUUUACUUCUUCACCUCUGACAAAGAAUUUCAAGUAUGAGACUCUUCUGGCUCAUGUAGUAAAUGCAUUUUUUAUAAGUUUCAUGUAAAUGACACGUUCUGGAUCAAGAAACUUGAUAAUGCACUAGGAGAAUAAUUCUCAAUGCAGGGUGGAAUCUGACUUUGGUGAAGGGAAGACUCUUGCAAGGGAAGGUUGAAGAAGGUUAAAUACACUGAGGUUGGUUAAAUCGGGUAUCCUGGCCCCUUGGAAGAGAAAUACUUUCUCUCCUACCAAGUGGAGUUUGGAAACUUCAGAGCUGGGAAAUAAUGUAUUAGAUUUUGAUGUGCUAAAUCACUUGAACAAGUAAUGAAACUAAUAUUAUACUAUAACUUAACUAACUGGAAUUUAAAUAAAAAACUUACAAAAAUAAAUCAUUCAGACAAGUACAUGAUCACGCUAUUUUUGGAUGUGUCUGUAAUUAUGCAGGGUUACAUGAUGAUAAAAUUUUCAGUGGCUUUUCCAGUUUCUGAAGGUAUUCUAUCCUUUGCAUUCUCAGUCAGUCCGCCUGGAGACCUUAGUUUUUUUGUGGGAGUAUGGGUCUAUAAAUUUAACAGCUUUUCACACCCCCCAAGAGAAGAGAAAUCUGCUAUUGGAAUGAACAAUUACUGGGGUGUCUGGGUGGCUAAGCUGGUUAAGUGACUGCCUUUAGCUCAGGUCAUGAUCUCAUGGUUCAUGGGUUCAAGCCCCACAUCAGGUUCUCUGCUGUCAGCACAGAGCCCUCUUCGGAUCCCCUGUCCCACUGUGUCUGUGCCCCUGACCCACUUGCGUGCUCUCUCUCUCUCUCAAAAGUAAAUUAAAAUAAACUAAAAAAAAAAAAAAAAAAAAAAGAAAGAAAGAAUGAGCAGUUACUGAGGACCCACUCCGUAUUGUUCUGCUUUUGUACCUCCUUUGAGGUAGGUAUUCGUUUUCCGCCUACAGACGAGGAAACAAAAUACCAUCUGAAAAGUGGCAGAGGAUGGAUUUAAAUUCAGCAUCAUCUGAAUCUGCUGUGGAGAGGAGCUGUCUAUUCCUAGACACAUGCACAUUCAAGUUGUGGGGUCUAUGGGCCAGCAGCAUGGGCACCAACUGGGCUGUUGAAAGAACUGCAGAACUUCAGGCCCCACCCCAGACCUCCUGAUUCUGAGUCUUCAUUUAAAUGAGACCCCAGGUGAGAAAGCACUAGUGCACAGGAAACCUGUGGUCUAAGCACGGUGACAUGACUCGAAACAGGUGUCCAGUGGAAGCCUGGUGUUGUCCUCCAGGAUGCCGUCUUACAAGGACAGGGAUGCAAACAGUCAAUCAUCUCUUAUCUUGCUGAAGCAGAAGUGACAUGGCAAUGCUCAGGAGCGGGGUGGAUGGAAAGUUUUCUCCAUCUGAGGCAGUUCUGGAGUCAGACGCCUGGAAUCAGGGGCUGCCUACAGCGUGAUUGGAAAGCCCUCCACCCAGAAUGACUCCUCCGAGGCUCCUGUCAAUGCCGAGCUUUGCCAUUACCGGUUGCUCUGAGCUGCUGCAUCAUUCUUGAUAAAAUGUUGGUUGGUUAAUAACAUCUCGCUGUAAACUAAUCUAUCAAACCUUCUAAAGGUGCCCAAGAACAGAUUCUGUCAGGCUGGAGAGAGAGAGAGAGAGAUCCAGACUCGGGAAUAUCAAUAGCGAAGAGUCCAGCCUCCAGAACCCUUCCACCCCUGGGGCUACAGAAAGCGUCCUUUGCCUUCUCUUCCUAAUUCGUACAGCUAGACUGGAGACAUCAGGGGCCUUUUCUGUCCCUCUCCUCCUUUCAGGACUCCUGCUGGUCCCAAACCUUGUGAAGGUGUCCUCCUUUGCUCAGCUGUCAUCCUGGUUUGAAUCUGCCUUGUCUUACGCUGGGACCAUCACAAGGGUUGCCUAAGUGAUCUUCCCUGUCUUCCCCCUUUAAUUUACAGAAAGAGCAGUGCCAGAAUCAUUUUCCUGGUCAUACGGCUUUACACCUGUCACUCUUACUCAAAAAACUCUCAGCUCUUACAGAAAAGAGGCUAAAGACCAAAAUGUGGAUCCAUCUCAACUCUAUUCCAGGCUGCCCCUGUCCAACUUUUAUUUUCCAGUAGUCCUUCUGGAAUAUGUAAACUCCAUGGGGCAGCCUGAAUGCCUUGUCCCUGCUAUUAGCUCCUAGCAUAGUGCCUGCACACCAUAGGUUUUCAAUAAAUAUUGAUUGAACGGAUGAAUGCACAAGCUGAUUCUCAUGUUUUAUAGUCUGGCUAGAAUUCACUCCUUGGUCAGGCUGUUCUUAAUGACUGGCCUUCCAUUCCCUUUCUUGCCAUUUAUCAGAAUCCUCUGAGGCCCACAUAAAGGCUCAUUUCCUGGAAACUUUUGAUUUAGCUCACUGAGUUCAUUUCUUCUUCAAAUCGUAACCCUUGUCAUGGAGUUAUUUGUUUGGUGCUCAAUUAUACGUAAUCUCACAUUGCUAUCUGUGUGUGAGUCACACUGUAUAGAUAGACUCUAAACCCCCUGAGGUCAGAAACAAUUUGCAUUUCUUUAUACUUUUCAGAGUUUAUCCUCUUUCCCUUUGGCCUUUUCUCAUUUUCCUGCCUCCCCUCCUUGUUCCCAGGUCAUUGGCCGCUCUUUGACCACACUUGUGUUGGGUAUUCCCCUUGGUUGUGGAUCAGGCACCCCUCCCCCCUGGAAUGUGUGUGGUCCCUGGGGACAGGUACUGCAUCACCUGGUUUCUCCCUGUGUGAAUGAUGGAUGCUAUAAGCUUUGUCCUUCUGAAUUUUCUGUCCCUCCUUUUCGUUCUGCCCAUCGGAAGAGAGUCG